rnacentral:rRNA from 1 species
UACGUAGGGUGCGAGCGUUGUCCGGAAUUACUGGGCGUAAAGAGCUCGUAGGUGGUUUGUCGCGUCGUCUGUGAAAUUCCGGGGCUUAACCUCGGGCGUGCAGGCGAUACGGGCAAUACUUGAGUGCUGUAGGGGAGACUGGAAUUCCUGGUGUAGCGGUGAAAUGCGCAGAUAUCAGGAGGAACACCAAUGGCGAAGGCAGGUCUCUGGGCAGUAACUGACGCUGAGGAGCGAAAGCAUGGGUAGCGAACAGGAUUAGA